rnacentral:rRNA from 1 species
UACGAAGGGGGCUAGCGUUGUUCGGAAUUACUGGGCGUAAAGCGCGCGCAGGCGGUCUUCCAAGUCAGUGGUGAAAGCCCGGAGCUCAACUCCGGAACUGCCAUUGAAACUGUGAGACUUGAGGAUGAGAGAGGUGAGUGGAAUUCCCAGUGUAGAGGUGAAAUUCGUAGAUAUCUGGAGGAACACCGGUGGCGAAGGCGGCGUCCUGGACCAACACUGACACUGAUGAGCGAAAGCCAGGGGAGCAAACGGG